ACUUAAAUAGUUUAAUUUGUAAAAUAUUGAUUUGUGAUAUCAAAGAUAGAGUUUCUUUUAGGUA
rnacentral:tRNA from 1 species